CCUGGAUCUCAGCUUUACGAUGAUACCGGAUUUACUAUGCGUAGUGUUCCACAGCUGUGCUGUACAGUUCAUUUUAUAUGCGAAAGUCGGUCUACUCGAAAGUACAGAGACCGGCCCCUGAUAUAUGAUCAGUGGACAUCGACUAACAUUUAUCUACAA